GCAAAUCCCAUGCCAUUUUAUACAAGGGACUCGAGCAUCUGAUUUUGGUAUCCAUGUGGGUCCUGUAACGCACCCCUGUGGAUAGUGAGGACAGACUGUAUAUAUGAAAGUAUUAAGCUCAUAACAUGAGGAGGGAAGCGGGAAGGGUAAGUGCAGUGGUGUGAGGAACUCUCAGUCCUUUGGCACCACUGGAGGGUGCCAGGACAUUCUUACUCCAAAAAUUGAUCAUUAAAGGGGAAAUAAUGAAGUGCUUAUGCUGCCUUUCUAGUAUGAACGCACUUCAGGGUAACCUGACUUACCCUAAUGGAUAAAGGGAAGGUCUGAGAGAAUUCCAGCCACUAAAUGUCCUUCUAAUGAGACAGAAGACGAGAAUUCUGCAGUCCCAGUGGAGGUUCUGGUUCUAGCAAUGGUCACCCACAGGUAGCAAAACUGUCAGGGGAACAGUUGAUGGGAAACUGACGAUAAAGGGGUCAGGCUAUCGCCAUCCAAGCUUAUUAAUGCUUCAACAAAGUGACACAAUCGGACAUGAGGAACUGAGCACCGCCCGGGUGUGAUUCCAGCCACAACUUUAGAUCCAACUUCCAGAUGACAGGAUAUAGAGGGGACAGAGGAACAAGUUAAAUACUACAAGGAGGAUGCUGAGUCCAGACUGGGGACACCUUCAAGGACAAGUGACCAGCUUCACCAACAAGUCAAGGGCACAGGGGAGGGAAGAGGGGGACUUUUAGGAUCAAAAGGAUCCUAAAAGACUUUGUAGCUAAACACAAACGUGAAUAAAGCUUUGAUAAUCCGA
rnacentral:lncRNA from 1 species